GCAUCGUCUGAAGAAUCGCCGUCACAGCACACGCACGGAAAGAUAUACCUUUCUUCUUUGGCUGUGGGGAAAGUCCCCGGAGAAACAGGGUUGUACCUCCUCGUUCACAAUGGAAAGCUCCCAGCUCUAAGAGCGCUGCGGGGAACGACGUUGGUCGGGAAGAUUGAUUUACUGGACUUGCUGCCAUCGUGCUCAGGACUUGUUCCCCUUGCCCACCCUGUUGCUGACUCGAUUUCAAGUGCUCUAACAACUGCACGGCUACGCGAAGAUAUGAGCGUGGUUGUGUAUGAGUCAUCUUGGAAGACGGUUGGUGCUUCGUUGCUCAUAGACAUAGUUAUGCGAUUGUCGACUGCUUCUGGCAUGUCUUCAACUCAAUGGGGCUCACUCUCAUUCGAUG
rnacentral:RNase_MRP_RNA from 1 species